AUGUAUUUAUUUUUACUUCCAGGGUCUUGCUUAUUUGCAUAUGAAGGGCAAAAUGCACAGAGAUAUAAAGGGUGCAAAUAUUCUACUAACAGACCAUGGAGACGUCAAGUUAGCGGACUUUGGUGUAGCAGCAAAAAUAACAGCCACCAUUGCGAAGAGAAAAUCAUUUAUUGGGACCCCUUACUGG